UGUAUAUAUAUAUGCUAAUGGAGUUUACGGGUAGUGUUCAAUAAGUUGGACAUGUGGCUAUGUGCGGAUGGAAAAACGUGUAUAGAGAGUUGUUCAUAUGAGAUGAACACAAAACAUUUAACCUGAAGCACCGAACUUUCGGUAUUCCACCUUGCUUGUAUCUGUUGUAAAUUAACUUCGCCACAUUUGUGAAUAAUGAGGAGCCUAUAAGGUUGACUAUUAUCAAUACAGUGCUUUUCAGAUUAA